UUUUCCCAUUGUUUUUUUUGUUUACAGUUGUGUUUUAUUUUUGCGGUGUCCAAAAAGUUGUUAAAAUUAAGAAAACUAAAUAAAAAAAAAUUACAAAAAAUGUUUGAAGUAGAAUCCAUUGUUGUUGAUCACAAAGAUGUUAUACACGAUGUAGUGUUCGAUUAUUAUGGCCGCCGCAUGGCCACUUGUUCCAGUGACCAAACAGUUAAAAUAUGGGAUGAAAAUGAACAGGGCAAAUGGUCGGUAACCUCCAGUUGGAAAGCACAUUCCGGUUCUAUAUGGCGGGUAUCUUGGGCUCAUCCGGAAUUUGGUCAAGUUUUAGCCUCGUGUUCUUUCGAUCGUACUGCCUCGGUAUGGGAAGAAGUAUUGGGAGAAAAAGUUGCCGCUACCAUGACUCCUGCCAGACGUUGGGUUAAACGUACAGUUUUAGUGGAUUCACGCACCAGUGUUACUGAUGUGGAGUUUGCUCCCAAAUAUUUAGGUUUACUAUUGGCUACAGCAUCAGCAGAUGGUGUUAUUCGUAUUUAUGAAGCGCCUGAUAUAAUGAAUUUAAGUAAUUGGCCGGUUCAACAUGAAAUCACAAAUAAAAUGGCUUUAAGUUGUUUGUCUUGGAAUACAUCAACCUAUAAGUUGUCGUCACAAUUAUUAGCGGCCGGCAGUGAUGAAACUGCUACUAUUACCGGCAAAGUGUUUAUAUUUGCCUAUAGUGAAAAUGCCAGAAAGUGUGUUAAGGUGGAUACGAUUAAUGAUAUAACUGAUCCUGUUACAGAUUUGGCUUUUGCUCCAAAUGCUGGUCGUAGUUUUCAUAUGUUGGCAGUGGCCAGUAAAGAUUUAUAUAUUGUUAAUAUACGAGGAGUAUCUGAUGGUUCCGGUAAUUCCAAACUUGAUAUACAAACAGUUAAACAUACCGAUCAUAAUUGUCCCGUUUGGAGGGUUUGUUGGAAUAUGUUAGCAACCAUGUUAAUAUCAACAGGUGAUGAUGGCUGUGUGCGCAUUUGGAAAAUGAACUAUAGCAGAAAAUGGAAAUGCGCAGCAGUUUUGAAAGCUGAAGGCAGUGGUCCUUCCUAUGAGCCGGCUCUUAACUCUCCAACAUUUACCACAUCUGCCGCUGCUACUGCUAAAUAUUAUAAAAAAGGCAUUAUUAGCAAUCCCAAUCAAGUGCCAUGGCAUUAAAUCGAAAGAAAAAAACAAUUUAUUAAAACACCAAAUUUAUUGCACACACAAACACAAAUCAAACAACUCAAGCUACCAACAACAAGAAAAGGGAUGUUUGAAUUAACCUCAAUAUGCAAUUGAUGAUUUAUACAGCAAAAAACUAAUGGUUUGUAAGCAACAGAAAUUGAAGAUAUUGAAAUUAAUUUAUGAAUAUUCAUAAAAUGUAUCUGCAAUCAAGAAAAAAACAG